GACGAACGCUGGCGGCGUGCUUAACACAUGCAAGUCGAACGGAAAGGCCCCUCGGGGUACUCGAGUGGCGAACGGGUGAGUAACACGUGGGUGAUCUGCCCUGCACUUUGGGAUAAGCCUGGGAAACUGGGUCUAAUACCGAAUAGGACCACGCGCUUCAUGGUGUGUGGUGGAAAGCUUUUGCGGUGUGGGAUGGGCCCGCGGCCUAUCAGCUUGUUGGUGGGGUAAUGGCCUACCAAGGCGACGACGGGUAGCCGGCCUGAGAGGGUGACCGGCCACACUGGGACUGAGAUACGGCCCAGACUCCUACGGGAGGCAGCAGUGGGGAAUAUUGCACAAUGGGCGCAAGCCUGAUGCAGCGACGCCGCGUGAGGGAUGACGGCCUUCGGGUUGUAAACCUCUUUCAAUAGGGACGAAGCGCAAGUGACGGUACCUAUAGAAGAAGCACCGGCCAACUACGUGCCAGCAGCCGCGGUAAUACGUAGGGUGCGAGCGUUGUCCGGAAUUACUGGGCGUAAAGAGCUCGUAGGUGGUUUGUCGCGUUGUUCGUGAAAACUCACAGCUUAACUGUGGGCGUGCGGGCGAUACGGGCAGACUAGAGUACUGCAGGGGAGACUGGAAUUCCUGGUGUAGCGGUGGAAUGCGCAGAUAUCAGGAGGAACACCGGUGGCGAAGGCGGGUCUCUGGGCAGUAACUGACGCUGAGGAGCGAAAGCGUGGGGAGCGAACAGGAUUAGAUACCCUGGUAGUCCACGCCGUAAACGGUGGGUACUAGGUGUGGGUUCCUUCCUUGGGAUCCGUGCCGUAGCUAACGCAUUAAGUACCCCGCCUGGGGAGUACGGCCGCAAGGCUAAAACUCAAAGGAAUUGACGGGGGCCCGCACAAGCGGCGGAGCAUGUGGAUUAAUUCGAUGCAACGCGAAGAACCUUACCUGGGUUUGACAUGCACAGGACGCCGGCAGAGAUGUCGGUUCCCUUGUGGCCUGUGUGCAGGUGGUGCAUGGCUGUCGUCAGCUCGUGUCGUGAGAUGUUGGGUUAAGUCCCGCAACGAGCGCAACCCUUGUCCUAUGUUGCCAGCGGGUUAUGCCGGGGACUCGUAGGAGACUGCCGGGGUCAACUCGGAGGAAGGUGGGGAUGACGUCAAGUCAUCAUGCCCCUUAUGUCCAGGGCUUCACACAUGCUGCAAUGGCCGGUACAAAGGGCUGCGAUGCCGUGAGGUGGAGCGAAUCCUUUCAAAGCCGGUCUCAGUUCGGAUCGGGGUCUGCAACUCGACCCCGUGAAGUCGGAGUCGCUAGUAAUCGCAGAUCAGCAACGCUGCGGUGAAUACGUUCCCGGGCCU
rnacentral:rRNA from 1 species